rnacentral:rRNA from 1 species
AUUGAACGCUGGCGGCAUGCUUUACACAUGCAAGUCGAACGGCAGCACGGGCUUCGGCCUGGUGGCGGGUGGCGAACGGGUGAGUAAUAUAUCGGAACGUACCCAGAAGUGGGGGAUAACGUAGCGAAAGUUACGCUAAUACCGCAUACGAUCUAUGGAUGAAAGCAGGGGACCGCAAGGCCUUGUGCUCCUGGAGCGGCCGAUAUCUGAUUAGCUAGUUGGUGAGGUAAAGGCUCACCAAGGCGACGAUCAGUAGCUGGUCUGAGAGGACGACCAGCCACACUGGAACUGAGACACGGUCCAGACUCCUACGGGAGGCAGCAGUGGGGAAUUUUGGACAAUGGGCGCAAGCCUGAUCCAGCAAUGCCGCGUGAGUGAAGAAGGCCUUCGGGUUGUAAAGCUCUUUUGUCAGGGAAGAAACGGUAGAGGCUAAUAUCCUUUGCUAAUGACGGUACCUGAAGAAUAAGCACCGGCUAACUACGUG